CAAAAAGUGGAACAGGAAGGACAUGGAAAAGAAGAAUGAAUAUUAAGUUCAUCAAGAGUGCUGCUUAACCAAAUGAAUCAAAACUGACCUGUAGAAGAUACCCUCCAGCAGCUACCAAUCCUAACAGAUGGCCGAUGAUGAACUUUCUGGGUGCAGUCCCUGGGCCGAGUGUGUCAAUGAGGAUGCAUUGUUCCUGAGGCCAUCUG